UUAAACGUUUUUUUUAGCCUGGGAAAACCCUGACGAACUUAGGGCAAAUUUGAGAUAGGCUCCGCAAGUCCGCCUGGCCAAGAGCCCAUUCAAGCCCAUUUCCAAUUUUUCCAAAUCGAGGCACCAAUCUCCACCGUUGAGGCGGGCUUUACAGGAUGACGGCAAUCAGCUUUAUAAUUCAUGUU